rnacentral:rRNA from 1 species
AGAGUUUGAUCCUGGCUCAGGACGAACGCUGGCGGCGUGCUUAACACAUGCAAGUCGAGCGGAAAGGCCCUUUUUGGGGUACUCGAGCGGCGAACGGGUGAGUAACACGUGAGUAACCUGCCCUUGGCUCUGGGAUAAGCCUGGGAAACUGGGUCUAAUACCGGAUAUGACCACUCUCGGCAUCGGGUGGUGGUGGAAAGUUUUUCGGCUGGGGAUGGGCUCGCGGCCUAUCAGCUUGUUGGUGGGGUAGUGGCCUACCAAGGCGACGACGGGUAGCCGGCCUGAGAGGGCGACCGGUCACACUGGGACUGAGACACGGCCCAGACUCCUACGGGAGGCAGCAGUGGGGAAUAUUGCACAAUGGGCGGAAGCCUGAUGCAGCGACGCCGCGUGGGGGAUGAAGGCCUUCGGGUUGUAAACCUCUUUCAGCACCGACGAAGGUGACGGUAGGUGCAGAAGAAGCGCCGGCUAACUACGUGCCAGCAGCCGCGGUAAUACGUAGGGCGCAAGCGUUGUCCGGAAUUAUUGGGCGUAAAGAGCUCGUAGGCGGUUUGUCGCGUCUGUCGUGAAAGCUCGCAGCUUAACUGCGGGUCUGCGGUGGAUACGGGCAGGCUUGAGGCAGGUAGGGGAGAACGGAAUUCCCGGUGUAGCGGUGAAAUGCGCAGAUAUCGGGAGGAACACCGGUGGCGAAGGCGGUUCUCUGGGCCUGUUCUGACGCUGAGGAGCGAAAGCGUGGGGAGCGAACAGGAUUAGAUACCCCUGUAGUCC